rnacentral:rRNA from 1 species
GAGGCGCAGUCGUACGCUUCUUUUUCCACCGGAGCUUGCUCCACCGGAAAGAAGAGUGGCGAACGGGUGAGUAACACGUGGGUAACCUGCCCAUCAGAAGGGGAUAACACUUGGAAACAGGUGCUAAUACCGUAUAACAAUCGAAACCGCAUGGUUUUGAUUUGAAAGGCGCUUUCGGGUGUCGCUGAUGGAUGGACCCGCGGUGCAUUAGCUAGUUGGUGAGGUAACGGCUCACCAAGGCCACGAUGCAUAGCCGACCUGAGAGGGUGAUCGGCCACAUUGGGACUGAGACACGGCCCAAACUCCUACGGGAGGCAGCAGUAGGGAAUCUUCGGCAAUGGACGAAAGUCUGACCGAGCAACGCCGCGUGAGUGAAGAAGGUUUUCGGAUCGUAAAACUCUGUUGUUAGAGAAGAACAAGGAUGAGAGUAACUGUUCAUCCCUUGACGGUAUCUAACCAGAAAGCCACGGCUAACUACGUGCCAGCAGCCGCGGUAAUACGUAGGUGGCAAGCGUUGUCCGGAUUUAUUGGGCGUAAAGCGAGCGCAGGCGGUUUCUUAAGUCUGAUGUGAAAGCCCCCGGCUCAACCGGGGAGGGUCAUUGGAAACUGGGAGACUUGAGUGCAGAAGAGGAGAGUGGAAUUCCAUGUGUAGCGGUGAAAUGCGUAGAUAUAUGGAGGAACACCAGUGGCGAAGGCGGCUCUCUGGUCUGUAACUGACGCUGAGGCUCGAAAGCGUGGGGGAGCAAACAGGGAUUAGAUACCCUGGUAGUCCACGCCGUAAACGAUGAGUGCUAAGUGUUUGGAGGUUUUCCGCCCUUCAGUGCUGCAGCUAACGCAUUAAGCA